AGGACCAUCCGUCGGGUCUCAUCAAACACACAACAAACAACUAAUAAUUCUGUCGGGUGCGAGAGGGCGAACUAGAGGAGUCAACUCCUCGUCAUAUCCCCCAGUGGGACGGCUCGCGGGAGCCGAC
ensembl:ncRNA C11G10.7 ncRNA